rnacentral:rRNA from 1 species
AGCGAACGCUGGCGGCGUGCCUAACACAUGCAAGUCGAACGUGAAAAGGGAAACCUGAGUAAAGUGGCGUACGGGUGAGUAACGCGUAGGUAAUCUACCCCAGGAUCUGGAAUAACCUGCCGAAAGGCGGGCUAAUACUGGAUAGAGCGAGGGAACUCGUAAGAGAGUUUUUCGGGAAAGGGAGCCCGCAAGGGCCUUCGUUCUGGGAUGAGCCUGCGUCUCAUUAGCUAGUUGGUAAGGUAACGGCUUACCAAGGCGAUGAUGAGUAGCUGGUCUGAGAGGAUGAUCAGCCACACUGGAACUGAAACACGGUCCAGACUCCUACGGGAGGCAGCAGUGGGGAAUCUUGCGCAAUGGACGAAAGUCUGACGCAGCCACGCCGCGUGAGUGAAGAAGGCCUUCGGGUUGUAAAGCUCUGUCGGAUGGGACGAACAUCUUCAUAGUGAAUAGCUAUGAGGACUGACGGUACCACCAAAGGAAGCACCGGCUAACUCCGUG